GCCAUUUUCCCAUGGGCCUGACGGGUAUGAUUGCUGCAGGGCUCGAGCAUUUAAGCAGAAAAAAACCUUAGGUGUCAGUUUCGCGGGAGUUCGGGGGUUUCUCGCGUGCGCAUAUAUAGAUAAAGUAGGAGCUCGCGCAAGUCAGAAGCAAAUUGCUGGUUGACGUCGUGCGACAGGUACGACAUCGGUAGACCCAGCCUCCACCACUUUUCAUUCACAGAUUGCCACUAUUCACUGUGCAAGGUUGCUUGCGUGUUUUGGAAUUUGUGGGAGCCGCCGCCGACUAAAAGUACCAGCAAGGAGCGCGGAGCUAUGUGUACAGUGCGGCCGUGGCUUGAAAUCGAUGCUUCGCUGCCAAGGACAACAUGUAUAUACUUUCAGCGCCUGAGAUGCUCCUGCAAAGUAAUCCCCCACUGUGGGUUGCCUGGCCUUGGGCUGCGUAAAAUUUACGCUCUUUCACAUUUCCCAUUCAAUUAUGAUGGCCGCAUAUUGUAAACCUGCCUAGGAAUCCUGACUCCAACCAAUACCGCAGCAAGGUAGGCUUAAAAGCCCUGCACAGCAGCGUGCCAUUUUAUUCGAAGCAAGGAUCAGUCGCAUCCACCCAGGCCGUUAACAGACAGUCCAUCCGCAUGUUGUGGCUUACAUCAUCAAGAAAAACAUAAAACCACGGCGGGGAGCGAAACUGUGUAGAAUGAAUCUAAAAGUGGACACUCCCAACAUAUUUCAAACCAACCUACUUGUUAAGGACUAAGACAGUGAUCGUUAACAGAGGUAGCCUUUUCAUCCACUGAACCAUUAUCACAAGACACGCCUGAUGGAACGUUGAUCAGACCUCCAACACGUUUUCCAGUGAUUGCGCGGGAAGAGCGGGUGAUCAUUCGCGAAGACUGUAUGAAAUAGUGACGAAUU
rnacentral:lncRNA from 1 species